UGAAUGUUGACUCAAAUGAGGUUGAAAUAUUGGGCUUAUUUGACAAAACUGAAUCUGUCAACACUAAUGCCUCUUUGAUGAGACACUUUUUAUGAAGAAAAGGAAUUAUACAUAGAUUGAUAUAAGCAAACUUGUUUGUAGAAAAAUCUGCAAUGUUUUGAAAAUUACACCAGAAAACUACAUUGAACAGAUGAGAGGGUGUAGCAAGGAAAGUAUUCACUACACA
rnacentral:lncRNA from 1 species